CUAAAUGCUUUCUAGGGUUCCGCAAACCAUAGACGUUGGCCUGGUCCGAGAGAAAGCUCACAGUAAUCUACUGUGUCACGGAGGGAUAAAAGCCUGGGAGAA
rnacentral:sRNA from 2 species